rnacentral:rRNA from 1 species
AUGAACGCUGGCGGCGUGCCUAAUACAUGCAAGUCGAGCGAACAGACGAGGAGCUUGCUCCUCUGACGUUAGCGGCGGACAGGUGAGUAACACGUGGAUAACCUACCUAUAAGACUGGGAUAACUUCGGGAAACCGGAGCUAAUACCGGAUAAUAUAUUGAACCGCAUGGUUCAAUAGUGAAAGACGGUUUUGCUGUCACUUAUAGAUGGAUCCGCGCCGCAUUAGCUAGUUGGUAAGGUAACGGCUUACCAAGGCGACGAUGCGUAGCCGACCUGAGAGGGUGAUCGGCCACACUGGAACUGAGACACGGUCCAGACUCCUACGGGAGGCAGCAGUAGGGAAUCUUCCGCAAUGGGCGAAAGCCUGACGGAGCAACGCCGCGUGAGUGAUGAAGGUCUUCGGAUCGUAAAACUCUGUUAUUAGGGAAGAACAAAUGUGUAAGUAACUAUGCACGUCUUGACGGUACCUAAUCAGAAAGCCACGGCUAACUACGUG